rnacentral:rRNA from 1 species
AUUGAACGCUGGCGGCAGGCCUAACACAUGCAAGUCGAACGAGUGGCGGACGGGUGAGUAAUGUCUGGGAAACUGCCUGAUGGAGGGGGAUAACUACUGGAAACGGUAGCUAAUACCGCAUACCAUCGGAUGUGCCCAGAUGGGAUUAGCUAGUAGGUGGGGUAAAGGCUCACCUAGGCGACGAUCCCUAGCGGGUCUGAGAGGAUGACAAGCCACACUGGAACAGAAACACGGUCCAGACUCCUACGGGAGUGACAAUGGGGGAAUAUUGCACAAUGGUCGCAAGCCUGAUGCUGCCAGGCCGGGUGUAUGAAGAAGGCCUUCGGGUUGUAAAGUACUUUCAUCGGGGAGGCGUUACCCGAAGAUGAAGCACCGGCUAACUCCGUGCCAGCAUCCGCGGUAAUC